CACAUCAAACAUCUUUAACCAAUAAACAAAACAUUUGACCAACCUAGUAGAUGUGAUCGAACAGUAAACACUACAGUACCGUAAGGGAAACCCAUUAAGCAACAAACAGCAAAGACUAGCCCUUGUACCUUUCGCAUUAUGGUUUAGCAAGAAAUCAGGACAAGAAGAAUCACAGCCCACACCCCGAAACCAGAUGAGCUACUUUAAAGCAGCCUAACGAGCGCACCCUUCUCUGUAGCAAAAGACGUGGGAAGACUUAAAAGUAGAGGCGAAACACCUACCGAAUCUGGAGAUAGCUGGCUACCCAACAAAUGAAUCUAAGUUCUACUUUAGACCAAAAAUACUAUCUAAUAACCUAAAGACACUCAAUAGGGGUACAGCUCUAUUGAAACAGGAAACAACCUGAACUUGAGAGAAAACACCAAACACAAACCAGUAGGCCUUAAAGCAGCCACCCUAAAAAAUAUCGUUAAAGAAUUAACCACAUUAAUACCAAUAACCACAAAAAACUCCAAAUAAACUAAAGGUAGACUCAUAAUAAUGAGUUCUAUUAUGCUAAAACUAAUAAUAAGACAACCUCUCUAUACAUAACCCCCCACUAACCACGGAUAAACCAUUAGCUGUUAACAGACCAUAAAAGGAAUAAACAACCAAUACACUAACACAAACAAACUGUGACCCCAACACCGGUAUGUUAUAAAGAAAGGUAAACUAUUAUAAAAGGAACUCGGCAAACCAGAAGCCCCAACUGUUUAACAAAAACAUAACCUUUAGCUAAACAAGUAUUAAAGGCAACGCCUGCCCAGUGAAUAUUAAACGGCCGCGGUACCCUAA
rnacentral:rRNA from 1 species